AGAAAGGAGUGUCUGGGUCAUGGAAACAGAUCCUCACACAAUGGUGCUUUCCACAGACACUGCCAUAAAACAAUAUCUUUAGUUACUGUUUACAACUGUUGGUUUCCUUGAAGCUUACACUAUCAGAAGGCUACUCCAGACUGUGACUUGUACAAAGGAUUGUUAAAUCUACAAUGGUCAACCAGUAUAGCUAUACCCAUUCACACCAGCACGUUUCUGAAGUGGAAAUGAAGCUUCCAUAAGAAAAAAUGUUCCUCUUUCAUUAGAGAAUAAAAUCUGUUCUUUGAAGAACUAAGUCUC